ensembl:lncRNA
GCCCGUGGUUGUGUAGGUGACAUUGGCGACCAGACACGUUGUCAUCGAGGUGCCCGUGGUUGUGUAGGUGACAUUGGCGACCAGACACGUUGUCAUCGAGGUGCCCGUGGUUGUGUAGGUGACAUUGGGGACCAGACAUGUUUGUCAAUGUGUUUAUCUGUAUUGAAUCAUCAGAAUACUACUACUAGUAAUAAUUAGAGAAGCAGAAUGAAUGGAUGCCCUCUAGGUCGCCUCAUUCCUUUGUCCAUGCACACGCACGCACACACACAUAGACACACACACUUCCAUCG